rnacentral:rRNA from 1 species
UACGAAGGGGGGCUAGCGUUGCUCGGAAUUACUGGGCGUAAAGGGCGCGUAGGCGGAUGUUUAAGUCGGGGGGUGAAAGCCCGGGGCUCAACCUCGGAAUUGCCUUCGAUACUGGACAUCUUGAGUACGGGAGAGGUGAGUGGAACUCCGAGUGUAGAGGUGAAAUUCGUAGAUAUUCGGAAGAACACCAGUGGCGAAGGCGACUCACUGGCCCGUUACUGACGCUGAGGCGCGAAAGCGUGGGGAGCAAACAGG